rnacentral:lncRNA from 1 species
AAGAAUAACACAAGUAUCACCAAAAAUUUGCCCCUUCAGAAAUCACUAAUGCCUGUCCUGUCUAUCAGCCAUCAUUUCUCUCUUUAUGACGGUUUCAGUUCUCAGGAAAGCUUUAUCACCAAAAAACUUAUUCAUCUACUUUGAGGCUUUCCUUCCUUAUUUCCUCUUCUCCGACCAUUCUCAAUUCAGUUCUCGUACCUUAUCGGUUUCCUUUUGGUUUUUGGCAUAUUCAGGGACGCUUUUAACCAGGUACACCUCCUCCUUUUUUUUCAACGAUUCUGUUCCUAGUAUAUGUGCUAAAGCGUUUGCUGAUCUCGAAGUAUAUAUGAACACAAUUUCUAGAUCUAGCUAUUAUCUGUUGAAUAUCAUGUAUGUAUACUCCUACCUGCGAUUUAUCUUGACUUUUUGUCUUGUAUUUUUUGAUUAUUGAUAAUGAGUCACCUUCGAUAAUGAUCUCCGACCACUGCAAUUCGAUUCCUAUUUGGACUAUUUCACGACAUGCAGAUGCUUCAGCAGCAAAGGCAGAGGCCACCUCUUGAUGAAUUUCUAAACAAGAUAAGAGGACGGUCCCUUCAUUGUUAACAGCCACAAUCCCCGAAGCCGAUUGGAAAUGACGCCCAUCGUAUGCUCCGUCAAAAUUGAUUUUUACGGACUUACCAGGUGGGUAAGUUUAUUUUCUAAACCCCUUUAAAAUUAUGGAAAUUCUUCUUUCAACACCAUUUAAUUCGAUAAUAUAAUUAUUAACGAAGCUCGCUAUUUCCUGACAGUGCUACUUUUCUUAUCUUGCAUUCUAGCAUUCUUUUCUCCCCAAAUGGCCCAUAGCACACAACAGAAAUGUCGGUAUUGAAAAAGGGGAUACUGAACAAAAACCUAGGUAAACCACUGUAAAAAAAUCCAUAAUAGAAUCCAUUACAAUAUUCGGGAUUGGUAAUGUUGUCCAGACUUCCUCUGAAAUAGGGCAGUCGUGGAAAAGGUGAUCAAUUGUUUCUGCUCUUUCUCCAUAUCGGGGGCAAGUUGUAAUGUUAACUAGCUUCCUGUGCUGCAUGUUAACCCGUGUAGGCAAAUAAUUCUAUGAUAUUUUCUAGAUUGUAAUCUUUAUUUUAGUAGAGAGAUUUUGGAGCCAAAGUUUUUUGUAAAAAUUCUUGUAGUCGGUUUGUAAAACAUAAGCUCUAGGGUUUUCACCAGAAUUUUGUAAUAGUUUAUAGGUGCUACGAACUGAGUAAUCACCCGAAGAUUCACUGCUCCAUACAAGAAAGUCAUCAUGGGGUUCUUUCGCCAAUGGGAUAGGGAGGAUUUUUUCAGCAUCUUACUCUGAAAAGGUAUUGACAAUCAACUCCCGUUUCUAUAUUCUUUCAUUACUAUCAAUUAACUCAGCAACUUUAAAAUCUCACAUGUUAUGAACAAAUAAAGGUCAUCUGAGAUUUUCUGCAUCUAGAAUCCAAGCAUCGUUAUUAACUGAAACAUUCAUACUCGUACCCACCUUUCAACAAAGUCCUUUUGCCAAAAUACACUUUGUCGCCCAGAUACUUCUCCAUAUAUAAGAACUUGUAUUUCCUAAUUGUGAAUUUAAAAAAUCAUCAUUUGGAAAAUAAUUUUCUUUGAGCACUCGCACAACUAGAGAGUUUGGGUUAUUUAAAAUCCUCCACCCUUGCUUCGCUAGUAAUGAAAUAUUAAACUGAGCCAUACUUCUGAAACCCAUUCCCCUCUCUUCUUUUGAACGACACAUAUGCUUCCAUUGACACCAAUAUAUUCCUUUUUUCCCAUGACCUUUUUGCCACCAAAACUUAGCGAAAAUGUUUUCUAAUUCCCCACAAAGAUUUCGAUAGAAGAAAGCAUGACAUAGUAUAAGUUGGUAUUUCUUGGAGUACUAAUUUUAUGAAGACCUCAUUACCCCCUUGUGAUAGUAGCCUUGUACUCCAUCCUUCAAUUCGCAAGUAAACCCUAUCUUUGAUAUUUUGAAAGGACUAUUUCUUUCGUCUUCCGACCACAUUAGGGAGUCCCAAGUAUUUUUCAAGAUUUCUUGAGCUUCUCACACCUAAUAAUGUCAAGAUUUCUUUUUUUUCCUUUCUAUUGUGUUCGAACUAUAGAAGAUCGUUGAUUUAUUAAAAUUCACACAUUUGCCUGAGCAUCAUUCAUAUUCCUUCAUAAUUUCUUUCAAUAUCAACGCUCUUCUAUCUGUUGCUUCACCUAACAGAAUACAAUCAUCUGUGAAAAGUAAGUGUGAUAUCUUUGGUCCCCUUCUGUUAGCUUUUGCUCUUUUUAACAAGCCAUCUCUCAUUGUCAAUCUCAUCAAAGAUGAAAGUCCCUCACUACAUAUCAGAAAAAGGAAAGGACUAAGUGAAUCACCUUGUCGGAGCCCUCUAGUAGGUUUAAAAAUGUUUUCCCUUCUCCCAUUAAUGUUUACUGCAUAAGAAACUGUGGAGAUACAUGUCAUAAUUAGUGCCACCCAUUCCCCUGCAAAGCCCAUCUGUAGCAUUACUUCCUUUAGAAAACCCCAUUCAACUCUAUAGUAAGCUUUGCUCAUAUCUAAUUUCACUGCCAUAUAUCCUUUUCUCUGGUACGCUUCUGAUGAAAAGUGUGUAGAAUUUCAUAGGCUAAAAGCACAUUGUCAGAAAUUAAUCUUCCGGGGACAAAAGCACUUUGGGUAGUGUCAAUACAUCUUCUAAUGACUUCUUGAAGGUGAUUUGCUAUUAUUUUUGCCACAAUUUUGUAAAUAACUGUGCACAAACUAAUAGGUCUAAAAUUAACAAGACUUGUGGGAUUUAGGAUUUUUGGGAUAAACACAAUAUCCAUCAAAUUAAGAGAGUCAAAAUCCUUGUCAUCAUUCAAAAUUCCCAAACAGAAAGUUUCGACAUCUUUACCUACAAUGUGCUAGAAGUUCUGAAAAAAUAAUGUCGGUAAACUGUUAGAGCUUGGUGCUUUAGUAGGCCCUAUUCCUUUCAAAGCCGAAUGAACCUCUUCUACCUUACAAGCUGAUAAUAGAGCUGUAUUGAUAUCGAAGGAAAUAUUGAUGUCAAUGCUCGUUAGUAGGUGGGAUAAAUCCCCAAUUCCAUUAGACGAAAAUAAUUUCUAAAAAAUUAAAUUAGCAGCCUCAUUGAUCUUUGUUUCGUCAGAAAUUUCUCCUCAUUCGUUUGAUCCCAACCUAGUUAUUGUGUUUAUCCGUCUACAAACUAGGGCAUACUUAUGAAAAAAGGUAGAAUCGUGCCUUUUGUUCCCAAUACAUUUCAUCUUUAUCAAUCUCCAUAUUAAGUUGAAUUUUGGUAUCAAUAAGCUUUGCCGUCGUAUCUUCAUCCCUCUCUUUCACCAUUGGAUUUUCAAGUUCCUUUGUGAGCUUUCUUUUUAAUCCUUCUCGACAUUUUUUAAUUGUGCUUGCCCAUCUCUUCAAUUUGAGCUGCAACCUUUUAAGUUUUUUAAUUAGCGUGCCUAUUGAUGACUCCUAAGAUUUCUUGAUUUCUUAUUCGAUAGACUCCUUCAUGGUCCACCAUGCCUCAAAUUUAAACAUUGGGAUCCCUAUACAAAUAUUUCCAUUAUUUGUAUUAAGAAAGAGUGGACAAUGGUCCGAAAUCGAAUGAGUUAAGUGUUGAAUGUUGCCCUUUGGAAAAAGAUGCAACCAUUUUUCAUUCGCAACUCCCCUAUCAAGUCUUUCCUUAAUGUUUAUUUUUGGUAGAUUCCACCAUUCCUAUGUAAACCAAACCCCCGAAUACCCUAUAUCCAUCAAUUGGCAUUCUUCUAAAGCCUCAUGAAAGGCCUCCAUUCUUCUCUCCUCCCUCAGUAUGCCUCUACUUUUUUCAAAGGAAUACAUGAUUUCAUUAAAAUCACCACUUACCAACCAAGGAUGAUUUUGUUCAUGGCCCAAUUUCCUUAACAGAUUCCACGAAACAUUCCUGUUAUUUACAUAAGAUGAACCAUAAAACCUCAUAAAUAUCCAUUCUUCAUUGACAUUUUCCUCCUUAAUCAUCACAUCAAUAUGGCUUUUUGAGAAACUUCUUAAACUAAUUGUAAUAUCCCCUUUCCAUGCCAAACAUAGCCCACCUCGAGAACCUUUUGCUUUUACGUUAAUCCCAUUCAUAAAACCACAUCUCCUUCGAACCUUUUCCAUACGUUUCUCAUCAAUUAUUUUCUCCAUUAAGAAGACCAUUUGGAGGUUGUACUGCUUCAGCAAAUGCCGCAGCCUCCAUACUGCCCGUGGACUCCUCAAUCCACGGACAUUCUAACUUAUAGUUUUCAUUGCGCCCGGUCGACUUACCUUUUGGCACCCGCCGAUCCAUAAAAUUUGGGAUCACAAAUUUGUUCCGAAUUUCCUACCGGCACAACUAGAGAAGCUUCAAUUUGUAUGUCUUUUCUUUCAUGUUUCAUUCUUUUGGGUCCGUCUUCGUAAGGAUUUCUUGUACAACAUUUUUCAAUUUCUAAUUCUGCAGAUUUCCUCUUCCUCAUUAUGAUGUCUUCAUUACUUUGAUUCAUCAAGACCACUGGAUAUUUCUUUUCCAUCUUGUCUUCUUAAAUAGAUUUGAUUUAUCUUCCAACAUACUAUUUCUUUCAUUCAACUUUUCAAUUUUCUUCAUUGCAGACCCUUCCUUCUGCUUCUUCUCCGUUUUCUCUAAUCCUGUUGGUUGUAUUUUAUCUUGUAAACUCUAAACCAUAGCAUUCUCAUCUUCUGGUUGUUUAAUAAACUCAGGUAGCAUCUACGUGACCCCUAUAUAAGAACAUUGAGGUAUCAUCUGUUUUUAGAGUGCAUUAAAUUUCACUCUCCUUCCCAAUUAAAUUUAGCUCAAAUUUUAAUGCUAAAGAGUAUAGUGGAUCGUCUCUAUUUUUUUUUUCUGCAGGAGUUAGCCCAAGGCAGUCUUUGAAACCAUGCCCCAUUCUUCCACAUCCAAAGUAGAAAAUUGGUAACUUCUCAUAUUUAAAGGAGACCCAAGAUUUCUAUUAAUUAUCGAUUGAGACGAAAAUACCUCUAAGGAGGGGUUUCUGCACAUCCAAUUUGAUUCUAAGGCGACACAAAUCUCCAUUGAUUUCAGAUUUAAUUACUCCUCCAAAAGUAACCCCAAUGGCAUGAAAUAGAUUUUUUUUGUCGAAUUCUGGUAAACACGGUCCGAUCUUAAUCCAAAACGGGGAAGAAUUAAGUCAAAUCUGACUUUUUUCAAUCGGUUUAACCAACUGAUCAAACAGUACAAGCUUUUUCCAAAACAAUCAUGGUCAUCCCUCCAUAACUGUCUCUAGAUCUUCUUCAGUAUGAAACACAAUUAGAAAAAGAUUUUGCCCUGCCAACUGAAUCUCAAAUUUUUUCCUCGUCUUUUAGAUGCUUUUCAUCUGUGCCCUAAAACUAUUCGGAUUUUAGGAUUUUUUCUGUCCAUAUUGUGCAAAGCAGAGUUGGUUUCACGUUUGGUACCACCAUCGAACACUUAACAUAUAAUUGGAUGAGUUCUUCUUCUAGAAGGGAGAUCUCAUCGCCUCCCACCCUAUCGUCGCCACCAGUUUCCUCCAUCCCAAGCGGCAGUAGUUACUACUUUCACUAGGAUUCUAAGCAAAGCACUCUUGGCUCUUUUUCCUUAAUUAUUCAUAAGGUUUAAAUGUAAGUUUAAAUUAGACAUUAUUAGUAAGAUUAAAAUUAUAAAAUAAUGAUUUUUCAAAAAUAACGAUAUACUAUUAUCAAGCAAAAAUAAUUACAUUUAGUGUAUAACUUUUAAUAAUAUAUCAAAUAAUUUUAUAAUAUAAAUUCAAUGAUUAUAAAAUUUAAUAUUAAAAAUUUAGUACCUAAUUUUCA